rnacentral:sRNA from 1 species
ACAGGCACUGUAACAUACAGUAGAAAGUAUGUGUACUCUUCCCCCUUUUCCCAUGCCCUGACACCAGUAUCUCAUUUGGAACUGACUGUACUUUCUGCCUCUUCUUUUUGUCUGGCCAUGGGGUCCAGCUAUUGCAGUACAAGGCAGACAUCAAUGCAGUGAAUGAACAUGGGAAUGUGCCCCUGCACUAUGCCUGUUUUUGGGGCCAAGAUCAAGUGGCAGAGGACCUGGUGGCAAAUGGGGCCCUUGUCAGCAUCUGUAACAAGUAUGGAGAGAUGCCUGUGGACAAAGCCAAGGCACCCCUGAGAGAGCUUCUCCGAGAGCGGGCAGAGAAGAUGGGCCAGAAUCUCAACCGUAUUCCAUACAAGGACACAUUCUGGAAGGGGACCACCCGCACUCGGCCCCGAAAUGGAACCCUGAACAAACACUCUGGCAUUGACUUCAAACAGCUUAACUUCCUGACGAAGCUCAACGAGAAUCACUCCGGAGAGCUAUGGAAGGGCCGCUGGCAGGGCAAUGACAUUGUCGUGAAGGUGCUGAAGGUUCGAGACUGGAGUACAAGGAAGAGCAGGGACUUCAAUGAAGAGUGUCCCCGGCUCAGGAUUUUCUCGCAUCCAAAUGUGCUCCCAGUGCUAGGUGCCUGCCAGUCUCCACCUGCUCCUCAUCCUACUCUCAUCACACACUGGAUGCCAUAUGGAUCCCUCUACAAUGUACUACAUGAAGGCACCAAUUUCGUCGUGGACCAGAGCCAGGCUGUGAAGUUUGCUUUGGACAUGGCAAGGGGCAUGGCCUUCCUACACACACUAGAGCCCCUCAUCCCACGACAUGCACUCAAUAGCCGUAGUGUAAUGAUUGAUGAGGACAUGACUGCCCGAAUUAGCAUGGCUGAUGUCAAGUUCUCUUUCCAAUGUCCUGGUCGCAUGUAUGCACCUGCCUGGGUAGCCCCU